GAUGAAGGCCUUCGGGUUGUAAAGCCCUUUCGUGUGGAAAGAACACUCCCGCGACUAAUACUCGCGGGAAUUGACGGUACCACAGGAAGAAGCACCGGCUAACUCCGUGCCAGCAGCCGCGGUAAUACGGAGGGUGCGAGCGUUGUUCGGAAUUACUGGGCGUAAAGGGCGCGUAGGCGGCAGUGAUAGUCAGGUGUGAAAUCCUUCGGCUUAACCGGAGAACUGCAUCUGAAACUUCACAGCUAGAGUACAGGAGAGGGAAACGGAAUUCCCGGUGUAGAGGUGAAAUUCGUAGAUAUCGGGAGGAACACCAGUGGCGAAGGCGGUUUCCUGGCCUGAUACUGACGCUGAGGCGCGAAAGCGUGGGGAGCAAACAGGAUUAGAUACCCUGGUAGUCCACGCGGUAAACGGUGAACACUAGGUGUGGGAGGUGUAAUACCUUCUGUGCCGAAGCUAACGCGUUAAGUGUUC
rnacentral:rRNA from 1 species